GGGGAUGUUUUGGAUUUGACAGGACGUUCGGUGGAUACAGAUUGCGAGUCCGAGAGCUGUUCUCGGUUAUCAACGGGCAAAACAAAUUAAAUGCUAACAAUGUAAUUAAAGCAGAUUUCGCACCUAGAGCAUACGCUUUGGCUGCCUAAUCGCUAUUUAGCUACUGAUAAGGCCCAGCUUGCCGGUUUUAUCAGUCCAUUAUGCAAGCGGCAGUGUGUUGAUGAUAGUAGGCGCAUCAAGACAAACUAUCAAAAGUUAGUGUUUCUUUAAAAAGCACUUUGGGUUCGGAUAAAGGUUUUGAUAUUUCCUUAGAACUUGAGCAAAUUAAUAUCUACACUCGUAGACGUUUGUGGAAAUCCGUUUUGGACAGGGGUUCAAUUCCCCUCAUCUCCACCA
rnacentral:tmRNA from 1 species